GUAUGUGUUAGGGAUUUGGAUUAGUAUGCUAAGAAAUUUAAAAUUUUUGGCGGUUGGUUUUAUAUUAGAGGAGCUUGUUUUAGAAGUAACUCUUUAGAUCUUAUUGGUUUUUGUUUAUUUAUUGCCGUUAUUAGAAUUUUGUUUAUAAAAAAUUUAGGUUUUAGAUUUCAGGUCAAGAUGUAGCAUUUACUUGCUUUUGAUUAGCUACAAUUAUGAAGUAAGGUUGGUUAUUUAUUUUGUUAGUUUUAUUAUAAAUUGAAUUUAAUUGUAAUAUUUUUUAGAAAGAGAGUAUGAAUUUCUUGAGAUUAAUGUACAGAUUGCCCGUCACUUCUGUUGCUGAAGAUGGAAUAAGUCGUAACAAA
rnacentral:rRNA from 1 species